GGUCCCGCGCGGUGACGGCCCGCGAACCAGGUCAGGUCCGGAAGGAAGCAGCCUUAAACGGUCACCGUCAUGCGUAGCGGGAGUGCCUGCC
rnacentral:SRP_RNA from 1 species